rnacentral:RNase_P_RNA from 1 species
CCAGUCGGCCGGACGGCCGCUCCCUCGGGAGAGGAAAGUCCGGGCUCCACGGAGACACGGCGCCGGAUAACGUCCGGCGGGGGCGACCCCAGGGACAGCGCCACAGAAAGCAAACCGCCCGGCUCGUCCGGGUCAGGGUGAAAGGGUGCGGUAAGAGCGCACCGCGCCGGCGGCGACGCAGGCGGCAUGGCAAGCCCCGCCGGGAGCAAGACCGAAUAGGGACGGCAGGGGGAAACCCCGGAUCCUGUCUCCGGAUCGCCGUCCGGGUUGGUUGCUCGAGGCGUCGCGCAAGCGCCGCCCCAGAGGAAUGGCCGUCACGUCCCGGCGCGAGCCGGGGCCCUACAGAACCCGGCUUACAGGCCGACUGGCGUU